rnacentral:rRNA from 1 species
GUCCACGCCCUAAACGAUGUCAACUGGUUGUUGGAUGGGUUUACCAUUCAGUAACGAAGCUAACGCGUGAAGUUGACCGCCUGGGGAGUACGGUCGCAAGAUUAAAACUCAAAGGAAUUGACGGGGACCCCGCACAAGCGGUGGAUGAUGUGGUUUAAUUCGAUGCAACGCGAAAAACCUUACCUACCCUUGACAUGUCCAGAAUCCUGCUGAAAGGUGGGAGUGCUCGAAAGAGAAUUGGAACACAGGUGCUGCAUGGCUGUCGU